UCACCAGCAGAAGGUGGGGGGAAGAGCUGCUGGAGCUCAAGGUAUGAGGAAAGGUUGAGAACCACUGUGCUAGAGACUCACCGGAUCUAAUGGUGGUUACAGAUGGCCCAACUGAAUGGAAUGUGGGCAGGAAUAGCACAGAGACCAGCAGGGAAGCUCAGUAUUAAGACACAGAGGUGGAACACAAAAGGAAUAGCCACACAAGAUCAGAGCAGGUGUCCAUCCAGUCCAAUAUCCUGGCUCUGACAGUGGCCAGGACCAGCUCCUUCAGAAGAAGAUCUAAUUCCUUCUUUUUAAAUAUUCGGGACUGGCAGUACUGGAAUGAAAUGAUUGAAAUGAUCAGCAUUCAGCCUGAUGCCAUGAAAACUAAUCUGAGGAGCGAAAUCAGUGAUGAACAAGGAACCAGCCGGAGGGUGGUUUCCAGUGGUCCAAAGAACACAUGAAGUGUGCCUCAAAGGGAACUACAAGGAUCUUGUUUCAUUGAGAGCAGCAUGUGACUUCAGCAGCUCUCUGUUUUUAAUGCGUAAUGUAUCAGUUCUGUGUAUGUUUUAAUGCUUUCCCCUAUCCCUUGCAGGGCAGGCUUGCUCCCACUCUUCCUCUACCACCAGAAGCUGCAAUGCCAAGUGUUCCCCCACACGGUAUCUCAAAACACUUCACAACCCCCUGAGGUGACACCAGGGACAGCACAAGACCUACGUGUGUAUCACUUAAUUCCAUUUAAGCCCUAUUUUGGCCCAUUGCAUAGGCAUGAAAUGGAUACCAGUAGUGCAGUGACUGUGCAGACAAAUGGAGCAGUGCGAUGGGAACCAGACAUUUUACCUUUGGAUUUUUCUCUAGUCUCAGAUUCGUGUACCCAAUCAAGUGCUAGUUCCUCCAAGUUAAUUAUCUUAAUUAAUAACUUACAAAGCACCUUCCAUUCAACAAGCUCAAAGAAUUUUACAACUAUGAAUGAAUUAUACCUCAACUACUAGGUGUGGUAUUACUAUUUAUACCAAUUUUACAGAUAGCCAAACUGAGACACUGAGAAAUUAAUUGAAUUGCUCAAGAGCCUACAUAGCAAGGACACAAAAGUCAUCACACAAGUUCUCUUACUGUAACCACUAGACAGCACUUCCUUUCCAGCUUUUGGUUUUCACUACUGGAAUUACAGUGUACAGCACGUGACAGUGCACGUUAGACACUGGGCGAACUUCUACCCUCAAUUAUACCGGUGCAACCCCAUUGAAGUCCAUAGGGUUGAACUGAUGUAACAGUGGAGAGUUUGGUUGGGUAGAAAACAUAUUUUUUCAUAGAUUCCAAGGCCAGAAGGGACCACUGUGAUUAUCUAGUCUGACCUCCUGUACAACACAGGCCACAGAACUUCCCCCAAAAUCAUUCCUACAGCAUAUAUUUUUAAAUUGUCAG